UUGGGACCCUCAGCGUAAGAUGCAAUGGGCAGUAGCGCUCCGACGAAAGCAAAAGAACGGCGACUUGUGGAUUCCCGGCGUCGGCGCACGUGUGUGCUCUGCGCAUUUUGUCGAAGAGAAACGCAGCGACGACCCCAGCCACGUCGAUUAUGUGCCGUCUAUCUUCUCGUACAACAACGAUAGUCGUGCCCGAUCACGCAGGAGGAUUGAAAUGCAUCAUCGCCAUGCUGCAAUAUCGCGAAAACGGUUGG